rnacentral:lncRNA from 1 species
CAGAAAGGUGAAAAUUGUGGCCAGAGGCAGAUUGUGCUAUCAGGUAAAUAAGCCCAGGCUAUUGUGCUGGAUGAUGAGAGGUCACUGGAACACUGAUGAGCCAUAACAGCUGAGGCCAUUCUAGAAUAGGCAGCUUUAGCCAACCAGGCAGCUGACUGCAGAUACAGGCCUGCAUCCAGAUGAGUCCAGAAAAGCAACCUAGACACUACUGGCAAAGACAUUGAAAAGAAUCACACUGCUAAACCAGUAGCAGCUUUUAUCUUCUUCUCAGAUUGUAUACAUGCAGGAUAAAAGUGUUUCUAACACAUAGACUUCUAUAUUCCAGCAUAAAGAUGUAUUAGGCGCAUUUAUACUUUUACAUCGAAGCCUGUUUCAACAUGAACGGAGCCCAGGGAAGUUGGUGACUUAAUCCUCGUUAUACCCUGAUUUUGGACAAAUUUUACAAGAAGAAUAGGACUUCUACUUCUCUAUGUCUACAUGCACCUGGAACAGUGCUAGGUCUAUGCUUACAAAUUGAUUGGUUCAGGUCACCGCCAUGAGCCUCAGGACAGAAAAUUGCCGGAUAUGAGAGAGAGAGAGAGAUUUGACUGGGCUAAGAAAGAAAUGAACACGAUUUAGAGAUGGAAAUGGUGACAUAUGGGCCUUUGAAGCCUCCCAUGUUCCAGAGAAGCCUUUUCUAGCUGAUCUCCCACCAUGACAUCCUUCCCCCACAGCUGGUUUGUC